AUUGAACGCUGGCGGCAUGCUUUACACAUGCAAGUCGAACGGUAACAGGCCUUCGGGCGCUGACGAGUGGCGAACGGGUGAGUAAUGCAUCGGAACGUGCCCAGUCGUGGGGGAUAACGCAGCGAAAGCUGUGCUAAUACCGCAUACGAUCUGCGGAUGAAAGCGGGGGACCUUCGGGCCUCUCGCGAUGGUAGUGGCCGAUGUCAGAUUAGGUAGUUGGUGGGGUAAAGGCUCACCAAGCCAACGAUCUGUAGCUGGUCUGAGAGGACGACCAGCCACACUGGGACUGAGACACGGCCCAGACUCCUACGGGAGGCAGCAGUGGGGAAUUUUGGACAAUGGGCGCAAGCCUGAUCCAGCAAUGCCGCGUGCAGGAAGAAGGCCUUCGGGUUGUAAACUGCUUUUGUACGGAGCGAAAAGGCUCCCUCUAAUACAGGGGGCUCAUGACGGUACCGUAAGAAUAAGCACCGGCUAACUACGUGCCAGCAGCCGCCGUAACAC
rnacentral:rRNA from 1 species